UUGCUAGCUCAAUUAUCAUAUCCUACUCUGUCCCCCAAACUGGAUCUUUGGAUAUAAAUACAACCACUGAAACUACGUCCUUCCUACUCUGUCCAACUUCUCAAGAUGGAUCUUCAGUAAGGAUUUCCCACUCUCUACCACAUUCCCAUUACGCUCAAUUACAUAAAUUUCACAUCCAACAUAAUAUAAUACAUACAACACAAAAAGUAAUGGUAAGCUACCAUAAAAAAAAUAAUUUUAA
rnacentral:lncRNA from 1 species